AAAGGAAUUGACGGGGGCCCGCACAAGCAGUGGAGUAUGUGGUUUAAUUCGAAGCAACGCGAAGAACCUUACCAGGGCUUGACAUACCGCUGACCGGUCUGGAGACAGACCUUUCCUUCGGGACAGCGGAUACAGGUGGUGCAUGGUUGUCGUCAGCUCGUGUCGUGAGAUGUUGGGUUAAGUCCCGCAACGAGCGCAACCCUUAUUGUUAGUUGCCAUCAUUAAGUUGGGCACUCUAGCGAGACUGCCGGUGACAAAUCGGAGGAAGGUGGGGAUGACGUCAAAUCAUCAUGCCCCUUAUGUCCUGGGCUACACACGUACUACAAUGGCUGAUACAGCGCGAAGCGAGGCCGCGAGGCGGAGCAAAUCGCGAAAAUCAGUCCCAGUUCGGAUUGCAGGCUGCAACCCGCCUGCAUGAAGUCGGAAUUGCUAGUAAUGGCAGGUCAGCAUACUGCCGUGAAUACGUUCCCGGGCCUUGUACACACCGCCCGU
rnacentral:rRNA from 1 species